rnacentral:rRNA from 1 species
CUCAACAUGUAAUUACUUUCUUCACGUUUCAUUGAACCAUAAAAAGAUGAUGAACAAACUUAGAGUACGUGGGAAUUAAGAAUAAGAAGUAUGGCUAUAUAAAAAGAUAAGGAAAUAGGGUCAAUAGAAUUCCGAAUAUAUGAAAAUAUGAAAUAAGUAUAGCGCAAACACGGAUACACAACUAAAAGUUGUUGAAUAAUGUUGCAUUCGAAGAAAUAUGGUGUGGAUGCUUUGAAAGUUUGGCUAAUAGAUAGGUUAGUUCCCUCUGAAAUUUAAACGGGUGAGAUACAAACGGUCUGGGAACUUACCUGUCUUGUUUUCAUCAAAGUUUCUUCCAUUGUUCCUUUGGCAACUUAGGAACUUCGUGUUUGACAGCACCCAUAGUUCUAUUAUGAGACCUCUAAUACUCUUAGGCAAGUGAGUAUGUAUUUUUUACAACACAAGAACUAAGUGUGACACAUAAAAAAUAAGCGUACAUUCUUUACUUCAAGUUUAACAUGCAUUAAGAACCCCAACUUGACAUAACUUAAGGGAAAAAUACUUUAUACUCAUGUUAUGUUUCAUCAAGUCUUGUUCCAUUAAGCAAUAUACAAGAAUAUGACAUGUUAAGACAUAACCAUAAGUCAAUCAAUUCAUAAAUUCACAUAUUGCAUUCAUACCAAAAAUAUAUCAAUUCAUUCAUCUAAUGCCGCGUCAUGUGAACAGGACUUAUAUCUUAUGUAGUCUUAAACUAGUAAAAUAUAACUUUUAAAACUUUUGUUGAUAUGAUGGCUUACCUUGGAGUUCUUGAAGUGGUUGUUUUUGUUCCUUGAUGAUCUCAAAUCUAAUAUGAACUUCCACUUCUAACUUAAGUUCCAUUGUCAAUGGUUAAUGCUUAUGAAUAUAUAUUCUCAUCAUAAGAACCAUAAAAAACCAAUGCACAAUGGCUCGUUAGUUUGUACCAAAAAUAUAAUCAAUGUAAAUAAGUACAACUAAUACCUUAGUCCAUCUUGAAAACAAAAAUUGACAAUUUUAAAGCUCAUUUUCAAGAAGGAACUUGGAUAACAAUCUAUCCUAGAGUAUGUUCCACAUAGACAUCUAUACACAGAAGUUAUACAAAAGACAUCAUGUGGUACAACUUUUAAUCCCAUAUAAACAGCAAGAUAAAUAAUAUUCAAUUACCUUCUAGUCUAGCUAUACGACAACAAGUUCCUGAAAACAAUACAUNNNNNNNNNNNNNNNNNNNNNNNNNUGUGGAUGUAAAAAAGCUCGGUAGGGGAGCGUUCGUUGUUAGAGGAGAAACGCGCGCGCGAGCCGCGUUGGGCGAAGCGGACAAGCGAGAAUGUCGGCUGAGUAACGCAAACAUUGGUGAGAAUCAAUGCCGAAAACCCUAAGGGCUUCUCCGCAAGUUUGUCCACGGAGGUGAGUCAGGCUAAGAUUAGGCGAAAGGGCGUAGUCGAUGACAACAGGUGAAUAUUCCUGUCACUACCCCUUUGUUUUGGUCCGAGGACGGAGGAGGCUAGAGUUAGCGAAAGCAUGAGUUAUCGGUCAAGGACGCAGGUAGACCCUGUUUUCAGGGUAAGAAGGGGUAGAGAAAUGCUCGAGCCAUGUUCGAGUACCCAGCGCUACGGCGCUGAAGUAACCCUGCCAUCCGUCUCCCAGGAAAGCUCGAACGACCUUCAACAAAGGGUACCUGCUUACCCGAACCGACCACAGGCUAGGUAGGUAGAGAAUACCUAGGGCGCGAGGACAACUCUCUCUAAGGAACUCGGCAAAAAUAGCCCGUCACUUCGGGGAGAAGGGGUGCCCCUCACAAAGGGGGUCGAAGUGACCAGGCCGGGCGGAACUGUUUACCAAAAACAGCAGGUCUCCGCAAAGUCGUAAGACCAUGUAUGGGGGUGACGCCUGCCCAGUGGCCCGGCGAAAGGUCAAAGGAAUGUUGGUGACUGAUGACGGGGAGCGGCGACGAAGCCCGGUGACGGCGGCCGUAACUCACUAACGUCCUAAGGUAGACGAACAUUCCUUGUCGGGUAAGUUCCGACCCGCACGAAAGGCGUAACGAUCUUGGGGCACUGUCUCGGAGAGAGGCUCGGUUUGAAUAGACUGUCUGUGAGUGCGGACUACCUGCACCUGGACAGGAGACCCAUUGACGCUUUACGUGGUUCCCUGGGAUUGCUUUGCGGCUUUCCUGGCGCAAGCUUAGGUGGAAGCGCGAAGAAGCCCCCUUCGCGGAGGGCCCGAGCAUCAGUGAAGAUACACUCCUGAAGAGCUGAUUUAACCUUGUGUCAGUACCUACGCCACAGGACAGUCUCAGGCUAGACAAGUUUCUCAUGGGUGCGUAGGCCUCCCAAAGGGUAACGGAGGCGUGGCAAAAGGUUUCCUCGAGGCCGGACGGGAUUUGGCCCUCGGUGCAAGCAGAAGGAGCUUGACUGCAAACCCACCGUCGCAGCAGGGACAAAGUCGGGCCUUAGUGAUCGGACGGUGCGAGUGGAUAGGGCCGGUCGCUCAACGGGAUAAAAGUUACUCUAGGGAUAACAGGCUUGAUCCCUCUUUACCAAGAGUUCACAUCGACGGGAGGUUAUUGGCACCUUCGAUGUUCGGCUCUUCGCCACCUGGAGACCUGUAGUAGUUCCAAGGGUUGGGGCUUCGCCCCAUUAAAGGCGUACGUGAGCUGGGUUUCAGAACGUCGUUGAGACAGUUCGGUCCAUAUCCGGUGUGGGCGUAUAGAGCAUUGAGGGACCUUUCCCUAGUUACGGAGACCGGAGGACGCACCUCUGGUGUACCAGUUAUCGUGCCCGGUAAAGCUGGGCUAGCAAGUGCGGAGGGAAUAAUUGCUGAAAGCAUCUAAAGUUAGUAAGCCACCCCACAGAUGAGUUGCUCUCCUAUUCCUACUUCCCGUCACUGCCGAUAGCACAGCUGAGGCAGUGGACGGGUUUCUCUUGCCCUGAGGGCUGAGGCGAAGAAGUUUGGAAAGAGAAGGUCACGGCGAGACGAGCCGUUUAUCAUUCGAUAGUGUCAGUGGAAGUGCAGUGAUUGUAUUGCUCAGCAUGAGGCAUUCUAAAACAGACCACAGACUU